rnacentral:rRNA from 2 species
AAGCGUAACAAGGUCUCCGUAGGUGAACCUGCGGAGGGAUCAUUACACAAAUAUGAAGGCGGGCUGGAACCUCUCGGGGUUACAGCCUUGCUGAAUUAUUCACCCUUGUCUUUUGCGUACUUCUUGUUUCCUUGGUGGGUUCGCCCACCACUAGGACAAACAUAAACCUUUUGUAAUUGCAAUCAGCGUCAGUAACAAAUUAAUAAUUACAACUUUCAACAACGGAUCUCUUGGUUCUGGCAUCGAUGAAGAACGCAGCGAAAUGCGAUAAGUAGUGUGAAUUGCAGAAUUCAGUGAAUCAUCGAAUCUUUGAACGCACAUUGCGCCCUUUGGUAUUCCAAAGGGCAUGCCUGUUCGAGCGUCAUUUGUACCCUCAAGCUUUGCUUGGUGUUGGGCGUCUUGUCUCUAGCUUUGCUGGAGACUCGCCUUAAAGUAAUUGGCAGCCGGCCUACUGGUUUCGGAGCGCAGCACAAGUCGCACUCUCUAUCAGCAAAGGUCUAGCAUCCAUUAAGCCUUUUUUCAACUUUGACCUCGAUCAGUAGAU